rnacentral:lncRNA from 1 species
AUGAAUUUAAGUGUGAAAAAAACAGGUGAUUGGUAGAGCAAUCACUUUAACUACAAGAAGAAAAGCUACAAAGAGACAUUUUACCAAGCACAAAACUUGACAUGCAUGUUUAGUCUGCUAGGGAAUGUAAAAUAUUUAUUAAAUUGUGACCUUAACUUCACCCAAACUUCACCCUUGUCUAAGCAAACUAGCAGUUUUUUUUCUCUUAUUUCCCUCCAUCCUUUCACCUACCAUGAGCCACACUCUAUUCUCCAAAUGAGGUGGCUGCAGUCCCUGUUCUCUCCACUGAAGAAGCUCUGGAUUCGUCUGCACUCGGCUCGAAAAAAGAGUAUGUCAUCAUUUCCUUUAAUUCUUUACAUUCACUGAUUGAAUAAUGCUUUCUACUUCGAAUUUCAGACUAAUAUACUUCAAUAUUUCCACAACCUCAGAUAACAUCAUUAGCUUUCCAUUUUUCUUCUCAUUAUAUCCUGCUUGUGCAUUACAGAGAACUGCUGAGUGCGUGUAAUCACAGACAAACAUGCAAGAGAAUUCAAAUUUUUCAAACUUUUUAGUGCCUAAACUACACGUUCAAAAUAGUAUAUAUCCUCUGUUACCUCUUAUAUAAUCAUGAUUAAACUUGUAGCAUGAUAAUAUAAACUUGCAUUCUGUACCUCUAUGUAUCUAUUGAUGUUCUGAUUUGCAUUUAUGGAUAUACCCAUACUUUGUUUUCAUUGGCAUUUCUAGACUUUCUUGAGAGAGCAUUUACAAAUCAAACUCACUGCAAUUUCCUAUAUUGGUUUUUCAGGUAGAGGGAUAUACAUCCUAUAUGAAGAUAUCAAGAACUGUCCCUAUGAAGAUGUGCAUGUUCUUUGGUCCAUACUAGUGGAAUCACAUCCACCAGCUUUGCCACCACCAAAAUGAUGUACUCACAUACUGUAUGAAGCAGGGAGAUUACAUACGUACCUAAUAAAAUUUUUACUCAUUUAGGUUUUCGCUUUUCUUUCCACUUUCUAGUUUUCAUUCUCUUUUGAGUGUGCUCUGUGCAGAUUAUCUUAAUAAAUUAUUGAAAUUAUUCACUUAUUCUGGAUAUACUGGCCCUUCGAAUAAUUCCAAAUAGAAAAAAGAUGAUAUUAUCUAGAAGCAAAAAUGAAGAAUGAAAGAGCAUCAUGUGUAUAAGAGGCUUUGUAUCAAAGCAUAAUUUAGUAGAACUUUUCUGGGAGAGAAGGAGUUGACUGUGAAGUGUAAUUCUUUUUCAAAUUUUGGCUUCUUGUUGCCUAGUCCAGUUCUAGCAGUUGACAUGGUAGCUUGAUAGGUUAUUCACAACGUUAAAAAGUUGACUGAGGUUCACAAAUGAAAGCUAAAGACUGGAUUUGGCUUGGGUUUUCUCUGUCCGUCCAAAUAAGUUCUGAAUUUUUAGGAAAUAACAAAGUCCGUACAAAAAUUAUUCAAACAGAGAAUAAAAUUGCACAGAAUUCCA